rnacentral:rRNA from 1 species
CAAUAGCGUAUAUUAAAGUUGUUGCAGUUAAAAAGCUCGUAGUUGGAUUUCUGGUGGGAGCGAUCGGUCUGGCGCUUAGCGCGAGUACUUGCAUCGUCUCCGGCCAUCCUUGGGGAGAGUCUGUCUGGCAUUAGGUUGUCGGGCAGAGGAUCCUCAUCGUUUACUGUGAAAAAAUUAGAGUGUUCAAAGCAGGCUUAUGCCGUUGAAUAUAUUAGCAUGGAAUAAUAAGAUAGGACUUUGGUACUAUUUUGUUGGUUUGCGCACCAGAGUAAUGAUUAAUAGGGACAGUUGGGGGUAUUCGUAUUCCGUUGUCAGAGGUGAAAUUCUUGGAUUUACGGAAGACGAACUACUGCGAAAGCAUUUACCAAGGAUGUUUUCAUUAA